rnacentral:rRNA from 1 species
GACGAACGCUGGCGGCGUGCUUAACACAUGCAAGUCGAACGGAAAGGCCCUGCUUUUGUGGUGUGCUCGAGUGGCGACCGGGUGCGUAACACGUGAGUACCCUGCCCUUGACUUUGGGAUAACCUCAGGAACCUGGGGCUAAUACCGGACAGGAGCCCCUGCUGCCUGGUGUGGGUUGGAACGUUUCGGCCGGUGCGGAUGGACUCGCCGCUUAUCAACUUGUUGGUGGGGUAGUGGCUUACCAAGGCUUUGACGGGUAGCAGACCUGAGAGGGUGACCGGCGACAUUAGGACUAGAAUACGGCCCAGACUCCAACGGGACGCAGCAGUCGGGAGGAGUGCGCAAUGGGCGGAAGGCUGGUGCAGGAACGCCGCGUGCGGGAAGACGGCCUUCGGGUGGGGAACGUGGUUGGCCUGUGACGUAUCGGGUGUGACGGUGGUGUGUAAAGAAGACCCGGCUAUCUACGUG